CUCACCUGUGUGCAGAGGGCAGGCAUUAGUGGCACAAACCAAGGUGCACAACAAGGCCCAAGAGAGACAAUUCCUGUGAUGUCCACAAAUCCAAAGCAGAGAAGAGAAGGAGCACACUAUACAAAGACAACAGUGGAGAGUUGCUG